CUACGGGGUGCUGCAGUUAGGGAUAUUCGGCAAUGGGGGAAACCCUGACCGAGCAAUGCCGCGUGAAUGAAGAAGUAUUUCGAUAUGUAAAGUUCUGUUGUUAAGGAAGAAAGGUACGAAUAGGAAAUGAUUCGUAAUUGACGGUACUUAACCAGAAAGCCCCUGCUAACUACGUGCCAGCAGCAGCGGUAAUACGUAGGGGGCGAGCGUUAUCCGGAAUUAUUGGGCGUAAAGGGUGCGUAGGCGGCCUGUCAAGUCCGAGUUGAAAGCCCACGGCUUAACCGUGGAGGGUGCUCGGAAACUGAUAGGCUUGAAUCCAGAAGAGGCAAGUGGAAUUCUAUGUGGAGCGGUGGAAUGCGUAGAUAUAUGGAGGAACACCGGUGGCGAAGGCGGCUUGCUGGGCUGGUAUUGACGCUGAUGCACGAAAGCGUGGGGAGCAAACAGGAUUAGAUACCCGCGUAGUC
rnacentral:rRNA from 1 species